rnacentral:rRNA from 1 species
GAUGAACGCUGGCGGCGUGCCUAAUACAUGCAAGUCGAGCGAACGGACGAGAAGCUUGCUUUUCUGAUGUUAGCGGCGGACGGGUGAGUAACACGUGGAUAACCUACCUAUAAGACUGGGAUAACUUCGGGAAACCGGAGCUAAUACCGGAUAAUAUUUUGAACCGCAUGGUUCAAAAGUGAAAGACGGUCUUGCUGUCACUUAUAGAUGGAUCCGCGCUGCAUUAGCUAGUUGGUAAGGUAACGGCUUACCAAGGCAACGAUGCAUAGCCGACCUGAGAGGGGGAUCGGCCACACUGGAACUGAGAAACGGUCCAGACUCCUACGGGAGGCAGCAGUAGGGAAUCUUCCGCAAUGGGCGAAAGCCUGACGGAGCAACGCCGCGUGAGUGAUGAAGGUCUUCGGAUCGUAAAACUCUGUUAUUAGGGAAGAACAUAUGUGUAAGUAACUGUGCACAUCUUGACGGUACCUAAUCAGAAAGCCACGGCUAACUACGUG